rnacentral:rRNA from 1 species
GACGAACGCUGGCGGCGUGCCUAUUCAAUGAAAUUCAACCGACGGAUGGGAGCUUUCUCCCCGACCCUCAGCGGCGGACGGGUGAGUAACACCUGGGGAACCCGCCCGUAAGACUGGGAUAACCCCGGGAAACCGGGGCUAAUACCCGAUAACCUCUUUCCCCACAUGAGGGAAAGCUGAAAGAGUGCAUCUUGCUAUCACUUACAGAUGGGCCCGCGGCGCAUUAGCUAGUUGGUUAGGUAACGGCUUACCAAGGCGACGAUGCGUAGCCGACCUGAGAGGGUGAUCGGCCACACUGGGACUGAGACACGGCCCAGACUCCCACGGGAGGCAGCAGUAGGGAAUCUUCCGCAAUGGACGAAAGUCUGACGGAGCAACGCCGCGUGAGUGAUGAAGGUUUUCGGAUCGUAAAACUCUGUUGUCAGGGAAGAACAAGUACCGGAGUAACUGCCGGUACCUUGACGGUACCUGACCAGAAAGCCACGGCUAACUACGUG